rnacentral:rRNA from 1 species
CGCCUCUUGAAAAAUAUAAGAGGUCCAGCCUGCCCAGUGACCUAGUUCAACGGCCGCGGUAUCCUAACCGUGCGAAGGUAGCGUAAUCACUUGUUCUUUAAAUAAGGACUAGUAUGAAUGGCACCACGAGGGUUUAACUGUCUCCUUUUUCUAAUCAGUAAAACUAAUCUCCCCGUGAAGAAGCUGGGAUUUUUUUAUAAGACGAGAAGACCCUAUGGAGCUUUAAACUAUUUUACACCUGCUGCCCACAAACCAACUUCCAGAAAUUAACCCUAAAGCAUAGCACUUUGAUUAAUAGUUUUUGAUUGGGGUGAUCGCGGAGUAAAAAAUAACCUCCACGACGAAAGGAUUUUUCCUGAGCCAUAAGCCACAGCUUUAAGCACUAAUAUUAUUAACGGCUAUUGACCCAAUAAUUUUGAUCAACGAACCAAGUUACCCUAGGGAUAACAGCGCAAUCCACUUCAAGAGCUCCUAUCGACAAGUGGGUUUACGACCUCGAUGUUGGAUCAGGGUAUCCUAGUGGUGCAGCCGCUACUAACGGUUCGUUUGUUCAACGAUUAAAACCCU